rnacentral:misc_RNA from 1 species
AGCAGCCGCGGUAAUUCCAGCUCCAAUAGCGUAUAUUAAAGUUGUUGCAGUUAAAAAGCUCGUAGUUGAAUUUCGGGGUUAGCAGGUCGGUCGUGCCAUCGGUAUGAACUGGUCUCGCUGAUCCCUCCCUCUUGACGAACUGUGAUGCCAUUAAUUUGGUGUCGCAGGGAAUCAGGACUGUUACUUUGAAAAAAUUAGAGUGUUUAAAGCAGGCUCACGCUUGAAUACAUUAGCAUGGAAUAAUGAAAUAGGACGUUCGAUCCUAUUUUGUUGGUUUCUAGGAUUGACGUAAUGAUUAAUAGGGAUAGUUGGGGGCAUUAGUAUUCAAUUGUCAGAGGUGAAAUUCUUGGAUUUAUUGAAGACUAACUACUGCGAAAGCAUUUGCCAAGGAUGUUUUCAUUAAUCAAGAACGAAAGUUAGGGGAUCGAAGACGAUCAGAUACCGUCGUAGUCUUAACCAUAAACUAUGCCGACUAGGGAUCGGAUGAUGUUAAUUUUUUAAUGACUCAUUCGGCGCCUUA